UUUAAAGUCUACUUUAAUACUCGCAGAAAUUAACAGUGUUAAAACAAGGCAGAAACCAACAGCCAAAUUAGGACAACCAACUAAGAGGAAAUCAGUAUUUUAGAACUACAUUUCAGCAUCAAUCAUGAACAACAAUAUGCGAAACUAGACUAAUUGGCACUUAGUACAUGAGUAAGCAUGAAACUUCAAAAAUACACGAGCCAUUUAAACUCAGUCGACUAACAAUCAAACUAAUUCUGAUAGCCUAUGAUAACAGAAAACAAGCGAAGUUAACCUUCAAGCUAUUUGAAAACCAACCCCAAAACAUUUACACACAGAAAAAUCGACUAUGGCCGAACACUGACAGAAGAGGCAUACGAACACACAAUAACCUGUUUCAAUGGAUUUUGAGACUAGAGGACUAUAUAAACAUUCAUUAGCAGACAUAUGAAAUCAUAGAAGAGGCUAAAUAAAAAAAAUACAGCGGCAAGAUGAACCUAGGAUAACUACACAAAACUUAGUUAUUAUUUCAAACGUCAGCCCAUUUUAUAGCACAUUUAGAGAUUGAUUUGCAACGGGAACUAAAGCGAAAAAGAGAAAUGAACCUAAAAUUAAGAGAGUGAUCAAUAAAACACCGAAAUCGACCAAAAAGAAGCAAAUAGAUGUUGAAAUUCAGCCCUCGAGCAGCAACAACUUCAAACUUCAAAUAACUUCCAUUUUUAAAUAAAAAUCCACAAUCAAAAUGAAGAAGACAAACUCUAGAGAUUUUGAAAAAAAAACUUUAAACAAUAAUCGCCAUGAACUGAAAUAGCAGAACACUCAAUGAUUCUUUUCUCUUUUUUUUUUUUUUUGCUUUUUUAGUAUCAGAAGUAAUAAAAUGAAGAAGAGAAAUCUCUCAAAUCCUUUUCUGAAAUCCUCUCUAAAGAAAUUUUUUCCGUUUUCAAAACCCCCUUUUCUGAAAAUAACGUCUCCUUUAUAUAUCCUUCAGGCCUCUUAACCUUCUCCCUUUCUCUCUAUGAAAACCCCUCAAACCAAAAAUCCCCCUCCCAAUUCGAUUCUAACCCUUUCUGAUGGAAAAUGGGACAAAUGGAGGGGGUAGAUUGACUUGAAUCCAAUCUAACGCUCCCCGUUUUUCCUCAUUUCCGCCUGGAGGGAAAAAAUCCAAAGAUAAUCCAAGAGAGCAUGCGAGGGAGAGGGAAUCUAUCAGAAACAAUAAGAAAUGGUAAGAGGGGGGAAGGAGGGAGCUCGUGGUCGUGAGAUUGGGGCUCACUCGCCAUGGUUUUGGACUGAAAUAGAGCUUAGAUUCAAUUUGGAGAAGAGGAACAGUGUUCCCGUCUCUGCGCUUG
rnacentral:lncRNA from 1 species